AUGGAGACCAGCAGCCCGCCGCCCCCGCGGUCCAGCCCCAACCUGGGGCUGAGCCUGGACGCCCGGCUGGGCGUGGACACGCGCCUCUGGGCCAAGGUGCUGUUCACCGCGCUGUACGCACUCAUCUGGGCGCUGGGCGCGGCGAGCAAUGCGCUGUCCGUGCACGUGGUGCUGAAGGCGCGGGCCGGGCGCGCUGGGCGCCUGCGCUACCACGUGCUCAGCCUGGCGCUCUCAGGCCUGCUGCUGCUGGUGGUCGGCGUGCCGGUGGAGCUCUACAGCUUCGUGUGGUUCCACUACCCCUGGGUCUUCGGCGACCUGGGCUGCCGCGGCUACUACUUCGUGCGCGAGCUGUGCGCCUACGCCACGGUGCUGAGCGUGACCGGCCUGAGCGCCGAGCGCUGCCUGGCCGUGUGCCAGCCCUUGCGUGCCCGCAGCCUGCUGACGCCGCGCCGGACCCGGCGGCUGGUGGCGCUCUUGUGGGCCGCCUCGCUUGGCCUCGCCCUGCCCAUGGCCCUCAUCAUGGGGCAGAAGCACGAGCUGGAGACGGCGGGCGGCGAGCCGGAGCCGGCCUCGCGCGUGUGCACCGUGCUGGUGAGCCGCACCGCGCUCCAAGUCUUCAUCCAGGUGAAUGUGCUGGUGUCCUUCGUGCUCCCCUUGGCACUAACUGCUUUCCUGAAUGGGGUCAUGGUGAGCCACCUGCUGGCCCUCUGCUCCCAAGUGCCGUCCACUUCUGCCCUGGGCAGCUCCACCCCCAGCCGCCUGGAGCUGCUGAGUGAGGAGGGUCUCCUCAGCUUCAUCGUAUGGAAGAAGACCUUUACCCAGGGAGGCCAGGUCAGCCUGGUGAGACACAAAGACGUGCGCGGGAUCCGCAGCCUCCAGCGCAGCGUCCAAGUUCUCAGAGCCAUCGUGGCCAUGUAUGUCAUCUGCUGGCUGCCGUACCAUGCCCGCAGGCUCAUGUACUGCUACGUCCCUGAUGACGCAUGGACUGACCCACUGUACAAUUUCUACCACUACUUCUACAUGGUGACCAACACACUUUUCUACGUCAGCUCAGCGGUGACUCCUCUCCUCUACAGCGUCGUGUCCUCCUCCUUCAGAAAGCUCUUCCUGGAGGCCCUCAGCUCCCUGUGUGGAGAACACCACCGCCAUGGAGCGGUUACCCCCUGAAGCCCCACAGUCCCACCCUAAUGGAUACAGCUUCAGGCUUUGGGGAUCCCCCAGAAACCCUGACCCGAAUGUCUUACAAAAAUGAACAGAACAAGCAGAAUGACCAGUUGCUUAAUCAUCUGGCAAAGCAGGACACGAUUCGACCUGUAACAUCACCCGAAUUCCCCCUCCUCAGCAGGCUGGACGCCCACCCUGGGAAAGACCCUUUGACAGAGCAAGAACUAGAUUAGAGGAGCCCAUGGUCUCAAGUGAGAAGAACGAGUCCUCGCCAAAGUUUUAGAAAAAAAGGAGAAGGAAAACUGGGACAGCAUAUUUGGCGAAUGACAAAUGCAGUCAUAGAAGAAUUCUUGUUUCUUCUCUAGACGUGAAGGCCUUUACAAAGCUGUACUGGCCUUUCCAACUGUUUUGUGAAAUAAAAUGCUAAUUCCCUCUGGGCUGGGAAAUCUGCCCAAGCAAGUAGACUGAAAAAGAAAUGAAAGCUGUCAACACUGGAUGCACCCUUGGUUCACAGUCUUCCCUUCAACAAAAGCUGUCUGCAGAAUCGUAAGCCAGAUCUAGGAGGUUUCAUGCAAUUUUUUUAAAUUAAAACUGAUUUCUAAACCUUAACACUGGCUGUCCCAGACUCGGGAUGGCACAUAAUGUGGUAUGUUUCAUAAAUGUCCACAUCCAGGAUUACCUCCAGGUAACCCAAGAACUGGAUGUCUCAGUGAGAAAAUACUGGAUCUGUACUUUGAUUUUACAGAGAGCCUUACAAGCCAACAGUGCUUUCUAAUAUAUGGCAUUCAGUGGCAGUAAGUUGCUCAGGACAGGAAGCAGCUGUGAUGUUAGUGGAAAUAUUAUUACACGUGCAGACAUGAAUCUAGGUUUGUUCUAUCACUUAAUAGCUGUGCCACCUUAGACAAGUCAUUUUACCUCUCAGAGCCCCAGUUUUUCUUCCAUAAGAUGGUCCCAAUAAUAUCCACCUCAGAGUAUUGUGUUGAUUAAAUGAAAUAAUGAAUAUUUAGUCAUCUAGUAAAACGCCUGGCACAGAGUGGAUGCUCACAAAUGUUUGCUACUCACUAUGCUCAUUUUGUAGCUAGCACACUCUCUGGGGAGCUGGGUAUCUUGGCCAAGGAAGAGAAGUAUGAACCCAAGUCUCCUGAUCUGAAAUGUGAAGCCCUCUCCACUGUCACAUCCUGCCAUGGGAACUCCAACUCCUACGUAAUAAAUGUUGCUUCUUGCAGCAUGAUUCCUCCUCUAUUAUUGUAGUCACUCUUAAUUUGCAGAAAGCAUUCAGGUGAUGUUUUUCUUUGGGAACUAUCUCUGACCCUGACUACUGGGAGGUCAGAAAAGCAUCUCUGAACCCAGAUGGCAAGGAACAGAGAAAACAGCUCUAAAGGUAGGCCUAGUAGGCACUAUGUUAGUGAUGCAUAGCAUAGUCACGAAGACCCAUUAAAUACUGGCCUACAGCCCCGGCCCACUGUGAACCCUUGUAGUAAGUUUGGGUGAUUGUUUUGCUGAUUGGUUUGGGUCACUACUCGGGUUUUGAGGGCUUUCUAUUUGGUUAGACUUGAGACUAUAAAGCAGAGUCUUAACUCUGGAGUAAGCAAGAGUCUUAACUCUCGGAGUGUCCUGGAAAAGAUUCUUGCAGGUCUUGGAGUGCCCCCUAAAUGAAGAAAUAGGAGGUUUAAUGGUUGUCAAUGGACUGUUAGAGGGGCAUGAAUGGGGUUUCCUAUUUAAAAUGACAUCUGGCUAAGAGUCCCCCGACACAGCCAUUUCCAUUAGAACAACUGUAAAGAUACAAUGGGGGAAGAGCUCAUGACGUUAGGAAAAGCAAGGAAUGGAAGCCAAAAAAUCGCAUAACUUCUAGUAACUAUCAAACUGCUAGAAUUUUCAACCACUGGUUUAAAAAAUGCUCUAUUGCUUAAAACAGCAAACCUCUAGGCUUAAAAUAAGUUGGAAUUUGCUUAGCUUCCCACUGCCAGAAGUGUAGAUGAAGGCUUUUAAGUCGUUGGAAACCUGCACCCCCAUUUUAUACCUCCCCAUCUGUUCUCUCUUCUACAUUAGUUUAGAAAGAACCUGGUAAUAACACUGACAUCAACCCAAAUGUCCUGAUUUGGAUCAUAUCUAGAGAUAGGCUCACGGGCAUUGCAUCCUAACCAGCCCUGAUCCAUGGCACAGAGAAGGAGAAUCCACCAACUGCAAAACAGUUAGGAAGUAAGG